AUUGAACGCUGGCGGCAUGCCUUACACAUGCAAGUCGAACGGCAGAACGGGGGCAACCCUGGUGGCGAGUGGCGAACGGGUGAGUAAUGCAUCGCACCCUGUCCUCUUGUGGGGGAUAACCAGUCGAAAGAUUGCCUAAUACCGCAGUAGAUCGCAAGAUGAAAGCGGGGGACCGCAAGGCCCCGCGCGAGCGGAGCGGCCCAUGCCGGAGUAGCUAGGUGGUGGGGUAACGGCCUACCAAGGCGACGAUCCGUAGUUGGUCUGAGAGGACGACCAGCCACACUGGGACUGAGAAACGGCCCAGACUCCUACGGGAGGCAGCAGUGGGGAAUUUUGGACAAUGGGCGCAAGCCUGAUCCAGCCAUGCCGCGUGUGUGAAGAAGGCCUUCGGGUUGUAAAGCACUUUCGGACGGAACGAAAUCGCGCGGACGAACAUUCCGCGUGGAUGACGGUACCGUAAGAAGAAGCACCGGCUAACUACGUGCCAGCCGCCGCGGUAA
rnacentral:rRNA from 1 species